GAUGAACGCUGGCGGCGUGCCUAAUACAUGCAAGUCGAGCGAAUGGAUUAAGAGCUUGCUCUUAUGAAGUUAGCGGCGGACGGGUGAGUAACACGUGGGUAACCUGCCCAUAAGACUGGGAUAACUCCGGGAAACCGGGGCUAAUACCGGAUAACAUUUUGAACCGCAUGGUUCGAAAUUGAAAGGCGGCUUCGGCUGGCACUUAUGGAUGGACCCGCGUCGCAUUAGCUAGUUGGGGAGGUAACGGCUCACCAAGGCAACGAUGCGUAGCCGAACGGGGAGGGUGAUCGGCCACACUGGGACUGGAGCACGGCCCAGACUCCUACGGGAGGCAGCGGUAGGGAAUCGUCCGCAAUGGACGAAAGUCUGACGGAGCAACGCCGCGUGAGUGAUGAAGGCUUUCGGGUCGUAGAACUCUGUUGUUAGGGAAGAACAAGUGCUAGUUGAAUAAGCUGGCACCUUGACGGUACCUAACCAGAAAGCCACGGCUAACUACGUGCCAGCCGCCGCCGUAA
rnacentral:rRNA from 1 species